rnacentral:lncRNA from 1 species
UUUCUGACCAUGAGUUAAUGAGAAUAUUGAUUAGUUGUCAUUCUCCAGCCUUCAGAUUUUUAUUGCUAAACUACUUUAGGUUUAGCAGUUAGUGCAAAACUGAAAAACAAGAGCAGGUUGCAUAGCAUGUCAUAUAUUCAGGCAACUUUCUGAAACUUUUUUUUUCAUUUACUGUGAGAAACAUUUUAAUCAUCUGAAAAAAAUGAUGAGAAAUGGUAGUAUGCUCUAGGUUUGUCUAGAGAAAUCUGUGGAGAGGUAUAGAACUGUGAUCAAGAUCUUUAUUUUUCCAUCCCACGUGCAGUGGCUCAUGCCUAUAAUCCUGGACACGUGGGUGGCUAAGGCAGGAAGAUCACAAGUUGGAGACCAGCCUCAGCAACUUAGCAAGACUGUGUCUCAAUAAAUAAAAAGGACUGGGUAUGUAGCUCAGUGGUAGAGCUCCCCUGGGUUUCAUCCUAAGUAUCAGGAAAAGAGCUUUAGUUCUGUACUUCAGGUUUUCAGAGAACAUUAUCUAAAUAGUGAGGGUUCUGAAGCAGAGAAUGUCUUGACAGCUUUUGGCAAGAGUUAUACGUUAGAGAUUCAUAAUGAACCUUAGCCAUGUAGAUAGUUCUAAAUCAGAACCAGCAAGUGACUUUUCCCUUGGAUAAAACAACAAUAUGUUACCUUACAUUCUUGUUUUCCCCACAACAUAAAAUGCCCAAUAAAACUGUGUUGCUUUUCCAUGUUUGUUGUUUUGUAUAUGUGAUUUUCUUUAAUUUCAGGAGCUGCCUGCCAAUAGUGUGCUUCUAAUUUACCUGUCAGCCACUGGCGUUUUCCCCACAGGUCGUUCUGAUAGUGAAGGUACAAUAAAGGAAUGCUCCCUGUCGUGAGCAGGGCUUGAAUUCUCUUUCUUUUCUACAAGACAUUGGCCCACAGCCCACAGACCACCUCACACUUUCUAAAGAGGCUUCCAGAUUUGAAAACUGGUUUAUUUGAAGUCCAUAAAUCAUCAGAAAAUUAAUUUAAAUGCAUGCUUCACUAUCAAAUUUGCCCAAAGCCUUAUGGAGUUUCAUGUUUUAAAGUGGAAAGGGGUAGCUGGGCGUGGGUGGCACACGCCUGUAAUCCCAGCAACUUGGAAGGCUUGAGGCAGGAGGAUCACAGUUCUAGGCCAGCCUCAGCAAUUUAGUGAGGUCCUAAGCAACUUAGUGAGACCCUGUCUCAACAUAAAAUGGACUGGGAAUGUGACUCAGUGGUUAAUCCUGGGUUCAAUCCCCAUUACCAAAAAAUAAAUAAAGUAGAAAAGGGUGAUGGAAUAAAAAGUCUAAUUAUUGACUUAAAGUGAGUGAUUUUUUUUUCCUGAGCCGUUAGUGCAUUAGAGGGUCUGGUCAGUGGCUACAUUAUGGCUGAAAGUCUUUGUAGAAAUCAGUGUACUUUUGUAACUGUGAAAGUUCAAGUCCUUGUUAUGCUUUUGUUUUCAGUCCUUUAUUUUGUUUUUAUGGAUUUAGUGUGUAAAAUAUUGGGAUGCUGUUUCAGAACAAAGCCUAAAAACUGUCCAAAUAUAUGAUCUAGAAAUUGGUCAGAAUAGAUGAUUAGCUUGGAUGUAAAUAAGGCAAUUAAAUCUUUGGGGAAAAACAAUUUCUUGACAUUUUAAACAUUUUCCUCCUCAUCUGUUUGUUGAAAUUUGCAUUCCUUUAUAAAGUGCAUGUCCCUGCCAUCUUCCUUGCAUGACCUACAGAUUGUCUUAAAAUGUUAAAAUGAAAACAAAGCAGAACAAAUCUCUAUAAUAUUUCCAUUGAUAUGUUUUAAAAGCAUAAAAUAUAAAACUUUGGCAGUGAUGUAAAAUUUUAAAGUACUUUAGUUCUUUUGUACAAUAAAAUUAGUAAUUUUACUUAUAAAUAACUUUUUCAUGUCUUAUGCCUUAUACUGUUUUCUGGGUUCCUGCUUGAUGUAUUGACCUUGAGAGAAAUUAUCCAUGCAUCCCACAAUUGUUGUUCUACUUAGACAAGAAUUGGCUAAUCCAUAUGACUAGGGGGAAAACUAGAACUCAAGUGACUGAUAUAAUAAUGAUAAUGGUAGAUUUUUUUCAUACACUGAAAUUUGGCAAUACAUAUCUCUAAAAGGCAGUUUUAGCAAUCAGAUUCUCCAAUUACAUUAAAAAUUUUCUCUAAAUGCUACAAUUAGUAGCUCAUUUAAAAUUAUAUGUAUUUUAAGAGAUUAAGACUUUAGUCUACAGUUAGGCAUAGUGGCACACACCUGUAACUGUAUUGACUCAGAUUGGGGCAGGAUUGCAAGUUUGAGACCAGCCUCAGCAAUUUAAUGAGAUCCAGUCUCAAAAUAAAAAGGACUGGAAAUGUAGCUGAUAAGUGCUCCUGAGUUCAAUUUUUAAUUGACCCCCCCCCAUCAGUCUACAACUAUUCUUUUUAAAAUAAUUGUUUUAAACCAGACAUUUAAACUUCGCUUGAAUUUUCUUUGUGUGUGUGUAUGUGGUACUUGCAAUUGAACCCAGGGUACUCUACUACUGAGAUAUAUUCCCUGGCUUUUUUAUUUUUAAUUUUGCGAAAGGGUCUUGGGAAUUUGCUGAGGCUGGCCUCAGGCUUAUAAUCCUCCUGCCUUAGUCUCCAAAGUAUCUAUGAUUACAUGUGUGUGCCACCAUGCCUAGCUAGAUUUUACUUGAAAUGUAAAAGUCAUUCUCAGUAUCCCAGGUCUCAUCC